rnacentral:rRNA from 1 species
CAGGAUGAACGCUAGCUACAGGCUUAACACAUGCAAGUCGAGGGGAAACGAUAUUGGAAGCUUGCUUCCGAUAGGCGUCGACCGGCGCACGGGUGAGUAACGCGUAGGCAACCUGCCCUUUAGUUGGGGACAACAUUCCGAAAGGGGUGCUAAUACCGAAUGUGACAGUUUUUCCGCAUGGGAUUACUGUGAAAGAUGGCCUCUAUUUAUAAGCUAUCGCUAAAGGAUGGGCCUGCGUCUGAUUAGCUAGUUGGUGGGGUAACGGCCUACCAAGGCGACGAUCAGUAGCCGACCUGAGAGGGUGACCGGCCACAUUGGGACUGAGACACGGCCCAAACUCCUACGGGAGGCAGCAGUGGGGAAUAUUGCACAAUGGGGGAAACCCUGAUGCAGCGACGCCGCGUGAGCGAAGAAGUAUUUCGGUAUGUAAAGCUCUAUCAGCAGGGAAGAAGAAAUGACGGUACCUGACUAAGAAGCCCCGGCUAACUACGUG